UACGUAGGGACCAAGCGUUGUUCGGAUUUACUGGGCGUAAAGGGCGCGUAGGCGGCCUAACAAGUCACUUGUGAAAUCUCCGGGCUUAACUCGGAAUGGCCAAGUGAAACUGUCAGGCUAGAGUGCAGAAGGGGCAACUGGAAUUCUCGGUGUAGCGGUGAAAUGCGUAGAUAUCGAGAGGAACACCUGCGGCGAAGACGGGUUGCUGGGCUGAUACUGACGCUGAGGCGCGAAAGCCAGGGGAGCGAACGGG
rnacentral:rRNA from 1 species